rnacentral:rRNA from 1 species
AUUGAACGCUGGCGGCAGGCCUAACACAUGCAAGUCGAACGAGCGGCGGACGGGUGAGUAAUGUAUGGGGAACUGCCUGAUGGAGGGGGAUAACUACUGGAAACGGUGGCUAAUACCGCAUACUAUCAGAUGAGCCCAGAUGGGAUUAGCUAGUAGGUGGGGUAACGGCUCACCAAGGCGACGAUCCCUAGCUGGUCUGAGAGGAUGACCAGCCACACUGGAACUGAGACACGGUCCAGACUCCUACGGGAGGCAGCAGUGGGGAAUAUUGCACAAUGGGCGCAAGCCUGAUGCAGCCAUGCCGCGUGUAUGAAGAAGGCCUUCGGGUUGUAAAGUACUUUCAGCGGGGAGGCGUUACCCGCAGAAGAAGCACCGGCUAACUCCGUGCCAGCAGCCGCGGUAAUAC